GGCACCUUUCGGGAGAGCGGUUCUUCAUCCCCUUCUAAGCAGGGAAACGAAUAUGUCCUGGAGAGGGCCUGGCACGUAUGGAGAUAUUCUUACUCCUCACCACCAUCCUGCAGAACUUCACCUUGAAGCCUGUUGUCAGCCCCGAGGAACUCAGCAUCACCCCAACACUGAGUGGGACAGGAAACGUUCCUCCCCUACUACCAGCUCUGUGCUAUCCCCCGCUGAGGGGGCACAAAACCUCACUGCUCUGCUCCUGAGACACUCUGCUCCUUUACCCCCUCCCCACCUCAAACCAGAGCAGGAGCAUUGCCCCACCAACCCAAAGCCCUCCACGAGGACAACCCACAGACAAAGUCCCAGACAGAUCAAACAUGGAUGCUCUGACCACCUCC